CCUGGCGCGCGCGGCGUCUCGGCCCGGCGUCCGCGUUCUCGCCCUCUCGGGCCCUCGGUCGGCUUGGGGAUCAACUCCGGGACCCAUUCCGGUCCUCCUUCGCCAGAUUCCGGGCUAUUAACAAACACCGCAGCGCUCAGAGCAUCGGAGUGAAGGAACUGAGCUAGCUGAGUCUUCAAGAGUAAUAUAUACUGCAUUCUGAAUGUUUAUUCAAUAAGUGAACAGAAGGAAAGACAGCUAAUUGACAACUGAAGGAUACUGUAUAAAAUAUCUAAAAAGAACUGAACACUUUUCUUCCUAAAGAAUAAAUGACUCUAAUGUGGCUUCUACAAGUGAACUAGAAGACCAUUAGAUGACUUGGGAUGUCACUUGGGAGCUUUGAGAGGCUCCACAAAUCUGGGAUCCCAGAACAAUAAACAGCAAUGAUCUUUUGCACUAUCAAGCAGACCUCUGAUCAGGGAUCUACUGAACCUGAUAUCGUGGAAAUAGCUCCCAUUUCUUCAAGGUGUUCCAGUUUCCUUUUCAUCUGUUUGACCUUAUCAAGGAAAUCAGAAGUAACAGAUUGUACCUAACAAGAUCAUUUCUCUGGAUCUUUAAUUACUCUGAGGCAUGUGUCCUAUCUCCAUCAUUAAUUGGCUAUACACCUUCAUACAAGCUCCCACCCCUACCCACUCUUAUCCCUUUUUUUUCUUAUCCCUUUUUAGUAUGUUUGAUACUAGAAGUCUAGGAUAGUCUAAAAAUGUCAGUAUUAAAGUAAAUAAAAGUUCUUGGUGCUUUUAUUGGCAGUUU